AGUGAACGCUGGCGGUAGGCCUAACACAUGCAAGUCGAACGGCAGCACAGUAAGAUCUUGCUCUUACGGGUGGCGAGUGGCGGACGGGUGAGGAAUACAUCGGAAUCUACUUUUUCGGGGGGGAUAACGGAGGGAAACUUACGCUAAUAGCGCAUAUGAUCUACGGGUGAAAGCAGUGGAGCUUCGGACCUUGCGCGACUGAAUGAGCCGAUGUCGGAUUAGCUAGUUGGGGGGGUAAAGGCCCACCAAGGCGACGAUCCGUAGCUGGUCUGAGAGGAUGAUCGGCCACACUGGAACUGAGACACGGUCCAGACUCCUACGGGAGGCAGCAGUGGGGAAUAUUGGGCAAUGGGCGCAAGCCUGACCCAGCCAUGCCGCGUGAGUGAUGAAGGCCUUCGGGUCGUAAAGCCCUUUUGUUGGGAAAGAACAGCUGCAGAUUUAACCCCCGCUGUUCUGACGGUACCCAAUCAAUAAGCACCGGCUAACUUCGUG
rnacentral:rRNA from 1 species